GAUGAAGAACGCAGCGAAAUGCGAUAAGUAAUGUGAAUUGCAGAAUUCAGUGAAUCAUCGAAUCUUUGAACGCACCUUGCGCCCUUUGGACUUCUGAAGGGCAUGCCUGUUUGAGUAUCAUGAACACCUCAACUCCUUAUGGUCUUCCAUGAUGAGCUUGGACUUUGGGGGUUUUGCUGGCCUACAGUCAGCUCCUCUAAAAUAAAUCAGCUUACCGGUGUUUGGUGGGUAUCAUGGGUGUGAUAACUAUCUACGCUCGUGGUUUUCCACCAGGUAACCUUCAGCAGUGGAGGUUCACUGGAGCUCAUAGAUGUCUCUCCUCAGCGAGGACAGCCCUUUGAAUGUUUGAUCUCAAAUCAGGUAGGACUACCCGCUGAACUUAAGCAUAUCAAAUAAGCGGAGGA
rnacentral:misc_RNA from 1 species